rnacentral:rRNA from 1 species
CGCGUAGGUAAUCUAUCCUUACAUUUGGGAUAACAUCGGGAAACUGGUGCUAAUACCGAAUGGUCUUCAUUGCUUUGGGGCGAUGGAGUAAAGGUGGCCUCUUCAUGAAAGCUACCGUGUAGGGAUGAGCCUGCGUACCAUUAGCUAGUAGGUGGGGUAAUGGCCCACCUAGGCUACGAUGGUUAGCGGGUCUGAGAGGAUGAUCCGCCACACUGGAACUGAAACACGGACCAG